rnacentral:lncRNA from 1 species
UUCACCAUGCUCUAGUCUAGACUACUGGAGGAGGGUUAACAGCCAGUCAGUCCUCUACUCUAUAUUCACCAUGCUCUAGUCUAGACUACUGGAGGAGUGUUACUAGACAAAUUGGACACGUCAGCUGGCUAGUGGAUUGGGUAACGUCAUUCUAUCCCACAUUCCAUUUCAGCUGAGCCAUGAACAGAACUGUAAAUUACUACUAAUUUAUAGCUACGUAAACCUACAUGCUACCCACCAACAUAUCUGAAACGUAUAAAAUGUAAACUACCCUACAAUAAACUGUUAACUUUGGAAAGUUUUAUCCAAUCUACCUAUUGUUAAAUGUGUUUUUGCUUUGGAGAGGAGAGAGUUCUCUGAAUGUUCUAUUCAAAUGUUACGGUAAACAUUCUCCACUUUUUGAUGUGUCAGGGUUCUGUUCUCUUGAUGUGGUUCUGUUCUCUUGAUGUGUCAGGGUUCUCCUCUCUUGAUGUGUCAGGGUUCUGUUCUCUUGAUGUAGUUCUGUUCUCUUGAUGUGUCAGGGUUCUCCUCUCUUGAAGAUUGAUGUUGGAGACGACAACUAAAGCCAAAUCCCAAGUAUUUUUUAAUUUUUUUAAUUUUUUUGUUACAUUUUCAACAAUACUACGAUGUAAAAUCAAUCAAAAUGUUUCUCUUCUGUUGACAUUUGUGAGCACCUGUUUCUCCUCGUCUGGUAUAUAGCUGCCUAAAUCCCAUUGUUUUAUUCCAUUGAGGACUACCCCCCACAGUGGGCCGCAAGUGUUUUAUGUUCACGUCAACUCUAGUGUUAUUGUGUUUCCAGCACUGGGGUAAAUCCUCAUUGGCAAUGCGACACUAAUGUGUUUAUGUAUUAUAGACUCACCUCUUUGGUGUAAGUAAUUGUGUGUAUAUAGAUAGUGCAGUUACUUAGAUAAUACUAUACAUACUGCAACAUACAAGUGUCUUCAGAAAAAAAUUCAUACCCCUUGACUUAUUCCACAUUUUGUUUUACAGUCUGAAUUCAAAAUGGAUUAAAUAUUGAUUUUAAUAAUAUUGAUUAAAUAUUCACCAAUCGACACACCUCAUAAUGACAAAUUGAAAACGUGUUUUUUUUAAAUGUUUGCAAAUACUGACUAGAAUACUUUGUAGAAACAAUGAUUACACCUGUGAGUCUUUCUGGGUAAUUCUCUAAGAGCUUUGCACACCUGGAUUGUACAAUAUUUGCCCAUUUAUUCUUUUUACAAUUUUUCAAGCUCAAGUUGAUUGUUGAUCAUUGUUAGACAAUAAUGUUGAGGUCUUGCCAUGGAUUUUCAAGCUGAUUUAAGUCAAAACUGUAAAUAGGCCACUCGGGGACAUUCAAUGUCAUCUUGGUAAGCAACUCCAGUGUAGAUUUAGCCUUGUGUUUUAGGUUAUUGUCCUGCUGAAAGGUGAAUUCAUUUCCCCAGUGUCUAUUGAAACACAGACUGAACCAGGUUUUCCUCUAUACCGUUUAUUUUUAUCCUAAAAACUCCCUAGUCCUUACCAAUGACAAGCAUACCCAUAACAUGAUGCAGCCACCGCCAUGCUUGAAAAUAUGAAGUGGUACUGAGUGAUGUGUUGUGUUGGAUUUGCCCCAAACAAAACACUUUGUAUUCAGGACAAAAAGUGAAUUUCUUUGCCAUAAUGUUUUCAGUAUUACUUAUAACUGUUUUAAAUUCACCAAUGGCCUCAUGGUGAAAACCCUGAGCGGUUUCCUUCCUCUCCGGCAACUGAGUUAGGAAGGACGCCUGUAUCUUUGUAGUGACUGGGUGUAUUGAUACACCAUCCAAAGCCUAAUUAUAACUUCACCUUGCUCAAAGGGAUAUUAAACAUUUUACCCAUCUACCAAUCGGUGCCCUUCUUUGCGAGGCAUUGGAAAACCUCCCUGGUCUUUGUGGUUGAAUCUGUGUUUGAAAUUCCCUGCUGGACUGAGGGACCUUCCAGAUAAUUGUAUGUGUGGGGUACAGAGACGAGGUAGUCAUUCAAACAUAAUGUUAAACACUGUUAUUGAACACGGGAUGAGUCCAUGCAACUUAUUAUGCCAUUUGUUAAGGAGAUAUUUACUCUUAAACUUAUUUAUGCUUGCCAUAAAGGGGUUAUAUACUUGUUUACUUAUUCAAGAUAUUUCAGUUUAAAAUGUUUUAUUAAUUUACAAAAAAAAUCUACUUACAAAAUUCCACUUUGACAUUAUGGGAUAUUGUGUGUAGAUCUCAAUUUAAUAAAUGUUCAUUUUAAAUUCAGGCUGUAAACCAUUUUUAAAUUCAGGCUGUAAACCAUUUUUAAAUUCAGGCUGUAAACCAUUUUUAAAUUCAGGCUGUAAACCAUUUUUAAAUUCAGGCUGUAAACCAUUUUUAAAUUCAGGCUGUAAACCAUUUUAAAUUCAAGCUGUAAGAACACAAUGUGGAAGAGAAGGGUGUGAAGACUUUCUGAAAGCCACUGUACAUACAACCAUUGCUAUGGGACCAAGAACAUUGCUGCAGUACUGUGAUGUUUUUUUUUAGCACAGUUAUUUAUACUGUAUCACUGUAUAUAUAUAUAUAUAUAUAUAUAUAUAUAUAUAUAUACGCCACUCAGAAAGCAUGCAGGAUAUUAUUAAGUUUGUUACGGUAAGAUCAUAAAUGAACCGUAUGAAAUAAAGAUGAGAGGAAUAUUAAACAGGGAUUUUACUACUGAGGAAGUAAUGUGGUUGUAUGACUAAUUUGGACAAGGACUGCCUAGAUAUAUACAUUAUUCGUCACUGACUCCGUCCAAUCUUCAUCCCAUAUUAAGUAUGGUAUUAUGGAUCCUCCCUUUUUCUACCCUACUCAGUGAUAUUCUGAUAUAACAAUGUCAUAUUUAAGUCAGGAACUAUUGACUGACGCAGACUGACUAUCCUAAGGCUUUGUGAACUUUUGAGUGCUGUACUUUUUAAUAUGCAUAAAAAAUAAAAAAAAGGUUACUUUACAAUACAUUACACUACUGUAUCCAUCACUAAAAUCCAUUCACAUCUUAACAACGACAACAAGUGAAAAGAAAAAUGACUUGAAACGGGAUUGAAGAGCGGGUCCAGGGUGUUUGUCGAAUG